AUGGUCCCUCGUCCAGAGAUGGCCCUCUCCAUGGAUCCCUAUGCACCACUGGCACAGGCGUACACUACUCAAACCGCGGCGCCUCCGCCGUUUUAUUUCUCGCACCUGCUGUCGGUGAAGCUCGCGCCGGACAACUACCUGUCAUGGCGUGCUCAGGUCUUACCUCUACUCUGCAGCCGCUACUUGGAGGGUUAUGUCGACGGGUCCAUCCCGUGCCCACCCCCUCACCAUCCGGCAUAUGACACGUGGGUGGCGCAGGAUCAGGCCAUUCUCUCCGCCAUCCAGUCUUCGCUCACGCCGAGUGUUUCGUCGAUGGUCAUCUUCACCGCUACGUCCAGGGAGGCAUGGGCGGCCCUCCACACUAGUUUCACCUCUCAGUCUCAGGCGCGUGCACACUCUAUACACACCGAGCUGGGUGAGACCAAGCUUGGCGAUCUCAGCAUCACGGAGUACUUCAACAAGAUGACGAGCCUCGCCGACACCUUGGCCUCUAUUGGUCAGCCGCUUCAGGACGAGGACUUCACCACCUUUGUGCUUAACAGGCUUGAUGAUGAUUAUGAUAAUCUCAUUGAGAACGUCCAUGGUCGAGAGGGUACGCUCCCGCGUCGUGAGCUCUAUGCGCGCCUCCUUGGGCGUGAGCAUCGCAUCAAGGCGCGCCGUGUUUCCCCCAGCUUCGUCUUCGCCAACGCCGCCACACGCUGCAAACCUCAGAAGCCGACCCCAUCAGGUGGCAAACCACCGGCUUCCUCGUCGCAGGCCUCGCAGGGCAACGCGCCGACCAUCACUGGCGGGAGUCGCCCAGUUGCUUGCCGUUCUAGUUGUGGUGCUCCUUAG
rnacentral:rRNA from 1 species